rnacentral:rRNA from 1 species
CACGUAGGCGGCUUUUUAAGUCAGAGGUGAAAUCCCGGGGCUCAACCCCGGAACUGCCUUUGAAACUGGGAAGCUAGAAUCUUGGAGAGGCGAGUGGAAUUCCGAGUGUAGAGGUGAAAUUCGUAGAUAUUCGGAAGAACACCAGUGGCGAAGGCGAUUCGCUGGACAAGUAUUGACGCUGAGGUGCGAAGGCGUGGGGAGCAAACA